rnacentral:sRNA from 1 species
UCCAGUUGACGUCAGUAUGACAGGUGA